AGAGUUUGAUCCUGGCUCAGGAUGAACGCUAGCGGCAGGCUUAACACAUGCAAGUCGAGGGGCAGCAUGAUAAGUAGCAAUACUUAUUGAUGGCGACCGGCGGAUGGGUGCGUAACGCGUAUGCAACCUACCUUAUACAGGGGGAUAACCUUUCGAAAGGGAGACUAACACCCCAUGGUAUUACAAAGAGGCAUCUUUUUGUGAUUAAAUAUUUAUAGGUAUAAGAUGGGCAUGCGUAUGAUUAGCUAGUUGGUAAGGUAACGGCUUACCAAGGCGACGAUCAUUAGGGGUUCUGAGAGGAAGGUCCCCCACACUGGUACUGAGACACGGACCAGACUCCUACGGGAGGCAGCAGUGAGGAAUAUUGGUCAAUGGACGCAAGUCUGAACCAGCCACGUCGCGUGAAGGAAGACGGCCCUACGGGUUGUAAACUUCUUUUGUAAGGGAAUAAAGUGAGUCACGCGUGAUUUUUUGCAUGUACCUUACGAAUAAGGAUCGGCUAACUCCGUGCCAGCAGCCGCGGUAAUACGGAGGAUCCGAGCGUUAUCCGGAUUUAUUGGGUUUAAAGGGUGCGUAGGCUGACUGAUAAGUCAGCGGUGAAAAGCACAGGCUUAACCUGUGUCUUGCCGUUGAUACUGUCAGACUAGAAUAUAAAUGGAGUAGGCGGAAUGAAUCAUGUAGAGGUGACAUUCAUAGAUAUGAUUUAGAACACCGUUCGCGAAGGCGGCUUACUAAGAUAUAAUUGACGCUGAGGCACGAAAGCGUGGGUAUCGAACAGGAUUAGAUACCCUGGUAGUCCACGCUGUAAACUAUGAUAACUCGUUGUCGGCGAUAAACAGUCGGUGACCAAGCGAAAGCGAUAAGUUAUCCACCUGGGGAGUACGAUCGCAAGGUUGAAACUCAAAGGAAUUGACGGGGGCCCGCAC
rnacentral:rRNA from 1 species